UACAGAGGACGCGAGCGUUAUCCGGAGUUACUGGGCGUAAAGCGCGGGCAGGCGGUCUGACAAGUCUGAUGUGAAAUCUCCGGGCUUAACCGGGAGAGGCCAUUGGAAACUGACAGGCUGGAGGGCAGUAGAGGUAGGCGGAAUUCCGGGUGGAGUGGUGAAAUGCGUAGAGAUCCGGAGGAACACCAGAGGCGAAGGCGGCCUACUGGGCUGCACCUGACGCUGAGCCGCGAAAGCCAGGGGAGCGAACGGG
rnacentral:rRNA from 1 species